rnacentral:rRNA from 1 species
UACGUAGGGUGCGAGCGUUGUCCGGAAUUAUUGGGCGUAAAGGGCUCGUAGGCGGUUUGUCGCGUCGGGAGUGAAAUCCACUGGCUUAACUGGUGGCUUGCUUUCGAUACGGGCAGACUGGAGGUAUGCAGGGGAGAACGGAAUUCCUGGUGUAGCGGUGAAAUGCGCAGAUAUCAGGAGGAACACCGGUGGCGAAGGCGGUUCUCUGGGCAUGUCCUGACGUGAGGAGCGAAAGUGUGGGGAGCAAACAGG